GAACACUUAAUCUCAGCUCAAAUUGAAUCGAUUUUGAUGAACGAUAUGUAAAAAGAUCACAAAUUGUAUCUAAUCGAGGACAUUGCCCUUAAAAAUUGAAAAAAUUCCCUCGUUCCCCGUUAAUGGGGAAUCCCUCAAAAAAUUACAAAUUUAAAAAAUCGAUGCACGAAGUCUUUACCAAUUACUUGAUAUAUUUUUUAAUUUUAACAUCGGACAAUUUCCCUAUAUACCGGGGAGAGGGGUGUCAAAUCUAAAAAAUGAACAUAGAAAGUAGAACUUUUUCAAUUUAACUUUUAAAAGUUUUUCGGAAAUACUGAAACUUUUAUAUAUAUCUUAAAUAAAAGUUUAUGUGAUAUACUUUAAUUUGAAAAAAAAAAUUAACUUCUGGAAGUUUCUUCAUGCUUUGAUGCGAAGCUGAGAAAGUAUUGGUUUUACUAUGUGUUUUAGCUUCGAUGCGAAGCUAAGAAGGUGUAUCUCUACGUAAUAAACACUUCAAAAAUAGGCGAUAACAUUAACGGGACAACUGUGCAAGCUUCAAAUUUUGCUCCACAAGACAACUAUAUUGACUAACAUUUCAUAAACCCAUGUUAUUAUCGAUAACCAAAAAAUAAUUUUUUCUAAUGAUAUUUUACAUUAUUACAUUGCUUGAUAAAAUACCCACAUGACUCAGUCAAUGGGGGAGGCAUAUGCCUUUGUGCCCCUCUAAUUACCCCACUGCUCGUCACUAUCAUAAAAUGAAAUAACACUAGGCUAUUCUAUUUAUGUCCACAAUAAUGGUCUUUUACUUAACUUUUCGUUUAAAAUAGUUAAUACUUCUAUUUAUACAGGGUGAUCGAAAUCUGGUAAGACACUUAUAUUCUCAGAAACUAUUGAUUAUUUAAAAUUUUUGUAAAAAGAAAAAUUACUAAGUUUAUAAAACUCUACAAUAAUAUGCAGUUAAAUAAAUUUUUUUUUAUCCCUUCAAGGAUAAAAAUGUUUAUUUAUAAUUUUUUUUAAUGGGAACCACUAUUUUUGAUUUGAUAUAUGAUAGAAAAAAAAUUACAAACAAUUUUGUUUUUAUAAUUUUUUUUAUCCGAACAACCGUUUACGUUUUAUAAUUGUUUAAAGAUUUUGACUUCCAGAAAAAAUAUUGUCAUUUAAUACGUUUAAUAAUACCGGUGGCAGUGCAACUAGUUUUUUUGUUAAAUCCUUUAGUCUUACACAACCAUAUACUUAGCUAUUAAUAAUACACCGAAAACCCGGUUUGAAUCUAUUAUUGUUAUCACUCAUUUAGUGCGUAGUAAAUUUUUAUAGCUAAUUUACCUGUCAUAACUUGAUCAAUAAAAUUUGGUUUAUGCAACAGCAAAUAAAAAUAAUGACUUCUAUAUUUAAUACAAUAAAAUGACAAUAGAAAUUUAGCCUAAAAUCACUUAACUUUACCAAGCUGUAACGGACGAGCGGUUAAUCGGAUAAAAAAAACUAUAAGAACAAAAUUGUUUGUAAUUUUUUUGUCUAUCAUAUUAUAAAGUUAAAAAUAAUGGUGCCCAUUUAAGAAACUUAUUAAUAAGGGUUUUUAUCCUUGAAGGGACGAAAAAAAUAAUGGUUUGACUACAUAUUAUUGUAGAGUUUUUUGAACUUGAUAUUUUUUCUCUAUAAUAAAAUUAAAAAUUCUCAAUAUUUUUUGAGAAAAUGAGUGUCUUACCAGAUUUCAAUUACUCUGUAUAUUAUAUUUACAUUCUUAGAAGAACGUAAUUCUUCUCAAACAAAACAUUUAAAUAAACAUUUUAGAGAAAUAUUCAACAAACGCCUACUGCUUAGUUAUAUUGUAAUACACACAAUUCAGUCAUAAAUCAAUUAAUAGUCACUUUUAAAAU